UACGAAGGGGGGCUAGCGUUGCUCGGAAUUACUGGGCGUAAAGCGCACGUAGGCGGAUUGUUAAGUCGGGGGUGAAAUCCUGGAGCUCAACUCCAGAACUGCCUUCGAUACUGGCGAUCUCGAGUUCGGGAGAGGUGAGUGGAACUGCGAGUGUAGAGGUGAAAUUCGUAGAUAUUAGGAAGAACACCAGUGGCGAAGGCGGCUCACUGGUCCGGUACUGACGCUGAGGUGCGAAAGCGUGGGGAGCAAACAGGG
rnacentral:rRNA from 1 species